rnacentral:rRNA from 1 species
CCAGACUCCUACGGGAGGCAGCAGUGAGGGAUAUUGGUCAAUGGGGGAAACCCUGAACCAGCAACGCCGCGUGAGGGAAGACGGUUUUCGGAUUGUAAACCUCUGUCCUCUGUGAAGAUAAUGACGGUAGCAGAGGAGGAAGCUCCGGCUAACUACGUGCCAGCAGCCGCGGUAAUACGUAGGGAGCAAGCGUUGUCCGGAUUUACGGGGGGUAAAGGGUGCUUAGGCGGCUUUGCAAGUCAGAAGUGAAAUCCAUGGGCUUAACCCAGGAACGGCUUUUGAAACUGCAGAGCUGGAGUGGAGAAGAGGUAGGCGGAAUUCCCGGUGUAGCGGUGAAAUGCGUAGAGACCGGGAGGAACACCAGUGGCGAAGGCGGCCUGCUGGGCUCUACCUGACGCUGAGGCACGAAAGCGUGGGUAGCAAACAGGAUUAGAUACCCUAGUACA